UCUCCGUUGGUGAACCAGCGGAGGGAUCAUUACCGAGUUUUUCUGCUCCAAAACCCCUGUGAACUUAUACCUUUACUGCUGCUUCGGCGGGUUAACGCCCCGGAAGGCCCAAAAAGCCGCCGGAACCAGGCGCCCGCCGGGGGACCCAAACUCUUGUAUUUCUUACUUUGCAUGUCUGAGUGGAAUCAUAAACAAAUGAAUCAAAACUUUCAACAACGGAUCUCUUGGUUCUG
rnacentral:misc_RNA from 1 species